rnacentral:rRNA from 1 species
ACAUUAGACGAAUCAUCUGGAAAGAUGAAUCAAAGAAGGUAAUAAUCCUGUAGUCGAAAAUGUUGUCUCUCUUGAGUGGAUCCUGAGUACGACGGAGCACGUGAAAUUCCGUCGGAAUCUGGGAGGACCAUCUCCUAAGGCUAAAUACUCUCUAGUGACCGAUAGUGAACCAGUACCGUGAGGGAAAGGUGAAAAGCACCCCGGAAGGGGAGUGAAAUAGAACCUGAAACCGUGUGCUUACAAGUAGUCAGAGCCCGUUAAUGGGUGAUGGCGUGCCUUUUGUAGAAUGAACCGGCGAGUUACGAUUUGACGAAAGGGUAAGCCGUAAAUGUGGAGCCGUAGCGAGAGCGCGUCUGAAUAGGGCGUCUAGUAUUUGGUCGUAGACCCGAAACCUGGUGAUCUACCCUUGGUCAGGUUGAAGUUCAGGUAACACUGAAUGGAGGACCGAACCGACUUACGUUGAAAAGUGAGCGGAUGAACUGAGGGUAGCGGAGAAAUUCCAAUCGAACCUGGAGAUAGCUGGUUCUCUCCGAAAUAGCUUUAGGGCUAGCCUCAAGU